UUUAGUCUCCUAUGAAUAUAUUCAUCAGUGAUUGUGAAGGGAAGGCACUGUCUUUCUUAUUGUAUAACAAAACAUGGCAGGGACUCAGUGCUGCGAGAAUCCACCAGCUUUGAGCUCAAGCAGCGGACAUGGAUCUGUUUUUGAACUUAGAGGACUCAAAACCUACGUCUCUGGUUCUUCUGAUUCCCAAAAAGCCAUCCUCCUCAUCUCCGACAUUUUUGGUUAUGAAGCACCAAAUCUGAGGAAGCUUGCUGACAAAGUUGCAGCUGAGGGUUACUAUGUGGUGGUUCCUGAUUUUUUUUAUGGAGAACCUUACAAUCCUGAAAAUAAGGAGAGGACUGUACAAGUCUGGUUACAAUCACAUGGAACAGAUAAAGGAUUUGAAGAUGCAAAGCAGGUUAUUGCAGCUUUAAAAGAUAAAGGCAUAUCUGCAAUUGGAGCAGCAGGGUUUUGCUGGGGUGGAAAGGUGGUUGUACAACUAGCUACGUCUGAGAACAUUCAAGCUGCAGUGCUAUUGCACCCAUCAUUUGUCUCUCUGGAUGAUUUUAAGGAGGUGAAGGCACCUAACUCCUCCUGAGCUUAUUAUGCAGUUUAAGGAGAUUUUAUCAUCAAAACCUGAGGUAGACAGCUUUGUGAAAAUAUAUCCUGGUGUUUCCCAUGGGUGGACUGUACGAUACAACGAGGAAGACAAGAAGGCUGUGCAGAGUGCUGAAGAAGGUCAUCAGGAUAUGUUGAACUGGUUUGCCAAGCACGUCAAGUGAGUGGAAAGAACCGUAGCAGUUGAAAAGUUUGCAGUUAAAAAAGUAUGAAAGUUAGCCAUGAUAAAAGUUAUGGAGCUUAAUUAUGGAUAAACCCUGUAUGUAUUGUAUCUUUUGUUUAAAGAAGAUUUAUCUUGCUAUGGUUAUGUUAAAUGUACUGUAUGUUUAAAGAUUGCUAUUGCAUGAACUCUAAUAUUGGACUUCUUUGUAUGCUUUUAAGUAAAAUGUAUUUUAGUGGUAAACUUGUAUCUUCAAAUCCUGUUUUGUCA